CGGGUUGUAAGUUAAAUAAACUAUCAGACUUCAAAUCUGAAUAUAUCCUUUAAGGGGGUCAGCCUGA
rnacentral:tRNA from 2 species